UCUCCCCUUUGACUCAUCCUUCCUUUUGAAUAUGAUUUAAAAGGAGAAAUAUAUAAGAUGAGGAUUAGUUUUGGGUGCGAAAUAUUAAUUUUGUGUGACAAAAAUUUUGAGAAAAGAGGGCGCGCGCUAAGUUGUGCGUGAGAUAACCUCCUUGCCACUUCUCCUAUCUCAACGCGUCCUAUCCCUUCCUUUUGAUAUUAACGCCCAAGG
rnacentral:lncRNA from 1 species